rnacentral:rRNA from 1 species
GACAGAGGGGGCAAGCGUUGCUCGGAAUUACUGGGCGUAAAGGGCGCGUAGGCGGGAUGGCAAGUCGGUCGUGAAAUCCCUCGGCUCAACCGAGGAACGUCGAUCGAUACUGCUGUUCUUGAGGAUUGCAGAGGAGACUGGAAUUCCUGGUGUAGCGGUGAAAUGUGUAGAGAUCGGGAGGAACACCGGUGGCGAAGGCGGGUCUCUGGGCAAUUCCUGACGCUGAGGCGCGAAAGCGUGGGGAGCAAACGGG